rnacentral:rRNA from 1 species
AAAGCGCCUGUAGGUUGUUUAAUAAGUCUGUUGUUAAAGACUAGGGCUCAACCCUAGGAAAGCAAUGGAAACUACUAGACUAGAGUAUGGCAGGGGUAGAGGGAAUUUCUAGUGUAGCGGUGAAAUGCGUAGAUAUUAGAAAGAACACCGGUGGCGAAAGCGCUCUACUGGACCAUUACUGACACUCAGAGGCGAAAGCUAGGGUAGCAAAAGGGAUUAGAUACCCCUGUAGUCCUAGCCGUAAACGAUGGAUACUAGAUGUUGUGUAUUAUGUACAGUAUCGUAGCUAACGCGUUAAGUAUCCCGCCUGGGGAGUACGCUCGCAAGGGUGAAACUCAAAGGAAUUGACGGGGGCCCGCACAAGCGGUGGAGCAUGUGGUUUAAUUCGAUGCAACGCGAAGAACCUUACCAGGACUUGACAUACUACAGAUCCUUUUGAGAAAAAAGAGUGCCUUCGGGAAUGUAGAUACAGGUGGUGCAUGGCUGUCGUCAGCUCGUGUCGUGAGAUGUUGGGUUAAGUCCCGCAACGAGCGCAACCCUUAUUUUUAGUUACUAAUUCGUUAGGUUCUCUAGAAAGACUGCCGGUGACAAACCGGAGGAAGGUGAGGAUGACGUCAAGUCAGCAUGCCCCUUAUGUCCUGGGCUACACACGUGCUACAAUGGUUAAGACAAAGAGUCGCGAGCUCGCAAGAGUCAGCUA